GACGAACGCUGGCGGCGUGCUUAACACAUGCAAGUCGAACGGAAAGGCCCUGCUUUUGUGGGGUGCUCGAGUGGCGAACGGGUGAGUAACCCGUGAGUAACCUGCCCUUGCCUUUGGGUUAACUUCAGGAAACUGGGGCUAAUACCGGAUAGGAGCUCCUGCUGCAUGGUGGGGGUUGGAAAGUUUCGGCGGUUGGGGAUGGACUCGCGGCUUAUCAGCUUGUUGGUGGGGUAGUGGCUUACCAAGGCUUUGACGGGUAGCCGGCCUGAGAGGGUGACCGGCCACAUUGGGACUGAGAUACGGCCCAGACUCCUACGGGAGGCAGCAGUGGGGAAUAUUGCACAAUGGGCGGAAGCCUGAUGCAGCAACGCCGCGUGCGGGAUGACGGCCUUCGGGUUGUAAACCGCUUUCGCCUGUGACGAAGCGUGAGUGACGGUAAUGGGUAAAGAAGCACCGGCUAACUACGUG
rnacentral:rRNA from 1 species